GGGAACCAACCACAGUAGACAUAGCACACUUCAUCAAAGAUGCACCAGAUGCAGCGGCACUGUCUCCAUCACUGGUGAAAUGGGAUAUGAUUAGUGGACGGUCAUCACUUAGUAACUCACCAACACAAUUAGUGGCCCAUCUCUUCUCAUCUCCAAUGGUGGUCUCAGGAGGAAUGGUUGCAGUGCAGUCUUCAUGUCCUGGACAGGUCUGUUGCAUGUUGGCGGCUGAUGCUGGUUCAAUAUUUGCACCAAGAAACAUGCCACGCAUACCGUCUGUUGUAAGACUGAUACCCAAGUGACCGACAGCCACGACCACAUUCAGCU